GGAUCCGGGCCCGCCCCAGGGGAGCGGCCGAGGCGGGCGGGGCGGUGCCUGCGGAACCAGCUCAGCGGCGCGGCGGGGCCCGGCCUUUCUUUGCACCGCCGCGACCGGGGACGGACGCGGUGCUUACGCCCGGUGGCCGCCAUGAGGGCUUCCAGCCGAUACGCGGCUUUGUGCCUGUGUGGAGGGAUUGCCGUGGCUGGAAGGUGCCGGGCGGCAGAGCCGGCUGAAGGGAGAACACAGCCCUCGGUAGCGUGUGCUGCCGGGGGCCUUCAUCCUGCCAGCCCCGAGCUUUGCAGGGGGUGGAAGCAGCAAAAUGAGGCGUCUUGUGGAGGAGACUGAAGCUACUGGAGCCAGCCCAUGGAUAGAGGAGGUGUAAAGGAGUGACUUGCAUGCGAGGUGAAACGGGGAGCCCAGGAGCCUCUGGAGACACGUGGUGCGGGCUUGCUGGAGCAGCGGUUGUCAGAAGAAAUGAGCUUUCUGUGCUGCUUUGAAGAUCCCCAUUUGAAAGAUACGGAGAAGAUGGAAACUUACAGUCCAUAAUUUAAAUGGGAAUAACAGAGAAGGAUAGAUGUAGUAACUUGAAACAUCAAAGAUGGUUGGGGGUCAAACUGUAACAAGAAUUACAUGUGCAAUUUGUUAUUGUUAAUCCCCUCUACUGCUUCUUUAAAAAUACUUAUUUUUAUGUGACCUUUAUUAAACUUCUAUUUAAACUUGCUAA